rnacentral:rRNA from 1 species
UACGUAGGGUGCAAGCGUUAAUCGGAAUUACUGGGCGUAAAGCGUGCGCAGGCGGUUGUGCGAGUCAGCUGUGAAAUCCCCGGGCUUAACCUGGGAACUGCAUUUGUGACUGCACGGCUAGAGUGUGUCAGAGGGGGGUAGAAUUCCACGUGUAGCAGUGAAAUGCGUAGAUAUGUGGAGGAAUACCGAUGGCGAAGGCAGCCCCCUGGGAUAACACUGACGCUCAUGCACGAAAGCGUGGGGAGUAAACAGG